rnacentral:rRNA from 1 species
UACGUAGGGUGCGAGCGUUAAUCGGAAUUACUGGGCGUAAAGCGUGCGCAGGCGGUUCGUCAAGUCAGGUGUGAAAUCCCCGGGCUUAACCUGGGAACUGCAGUCGAGACUGUCUAGCUAGAGUAUGGGAGAGGGAAGUGGAAUUUCAGGUGUAGCGGUGAAAUGCGUAGAUAUCUGAAGGAACAUCAGUGGCGAAAGCGACUUCCUGGACCAAUACUGACGCUCAUGUGCGAAAGCGUGGGGAGCAAACAGG